rnacentral:rRNA from 1 species
ACAUCAUACUCGAUGGAUCGAUUGGUUUUGGUGACGAUGAAGAACGUUGCUGAAUGCGUAACUGGGAUUGCAUGGCAACAUGUAUCCUGUGUUCGAAUUAUAGGUACCAAUCUAUGAUAACCCUCUGAACUUAAGCAUAUCAUUAAGAGGAGGAAAAUAAAAUAACUAUGAUUCCAAUAGUAGCGGCGAGUGAAAUUGGAACAGCCCCAAUGGUAAAGGACACUUUGUGUUCUGUUGUAAAGGGUAUGCAGUAAAAAUGCUGAAAUGCAUUUUCAUAGAGAGUGAUAAACUCGUAUUGCAAUAUUACAUAGUGAGUAGUACUGUUUGGUAGUGCAGUAUGAAAGGGUGGUUGUGAUCAUCCAAGGCUAAAUACGACCAAAAACCGAUAGAGUAUAAGUACUGUGAAGGAACUGAUCUGCUGUGAUGGUAGGGUAGUGAAAUCGAGUAUGAGGAAGGCGACGCGUCGCA